rnacentral:antisense_RNA from 1 species
CGUAAGCAUUAAGCGUGCGUUGGCACAAAGCCGAGCGCACACAGUCCUGUUUGUCGAAACGAAUGAUACCGACCAUCUCGUCCUCUUCGAAGCGCUCCAGCGCGUCGCUAAGGCCGGAUUUCACGCCGCGUGGCAAAUCGCACUGGGUAAUAUCGCCGUUAACGAUCACCGUGACGUUCUCGCCCAGACGGGUC